rnacentral:rRNA from 1 species
CUACGGGACGCUCCAGUGGGGAAUAUUGCACAAUGGGCGCAAGCCUGAUGCAGCAACGCCGCGUGAACGAAGAAGGUCUUCGGAUCGUAAAGUUCUUUUCUUAGGGAAGAAAAAUGACGGUACCUAAGGAAUAAGCACCGGCUAAAUACGUGCCAGCAGCCGCGGUAAUACGUAUGGUGCAAGCGUUAUCCGGAAUCACUGGGCGUAAAGGGAGCGUAGGCGGUUUUGCAAGUCAGAAGUGAAAGGCUACGGCUCAACCGUGGUAAGCUUUUGAAACUGCAAGACUAGAGUGCAGGAGAGGCAAGUGGAAUUCCUAGUGUAGAGGUGAAAUUCGUAGAUAUUAGGAGGAACACCAGUGGCGAAGGCGACUUGCUGGACUGUAACUGACGCUGAGGCUCGAAAGCGUGGGGAGCGAACAGGAUUAGAUACCCUGGUAGUC